rnacentral:rRNA from 1 species
UACUCCUACGGGAGGCAGCAGUGGGGAAUUUUGGACAAUGGACGAAAGUCUGAUCCAGCAACGCUGCGUGAAGGACGAAGGUUUUCGGAUUGUAAACUUCUUUUGCAGGGGAAGAAAAAAAUGACGGUACCCUGUGAAUAAGCCACGGCUAACUACGUGCCAGCAGCCGCGGUAAUA